rnacentral:ncRNA from 1 species
GAGAACAUAGUACAAUGAAAGUUGUAAGCUGUGCUCGAGGGGGAGUUAUUGUCUAGCGUUGGCCUCUAUGGUAGAAUCAGUUGGGGAGGUCUGAGAGGCAGUGGUUUACCCUGU